AAACACUCCGGACCUUGGAGACAGACCAGCUAGUCUGUAAAUAAUGAAUCCCUGUCCAGUAGACAGGGAUUAGAAGCUGAUCAUCUGAAAGAAACAGCUUCAAUAUAAGAGAGAGAGGAGAGAUAAAGAGACCUGAGUGUUCCAACCACCAGCUUGAAGACCACCACAGUUGAUUCUCCUCAACUGGAAGAAUUCCCAAGUAACCUGUAUAUGUGUGAGCCGUAGGAAAUCAUCUCCCUGUCCUCGAGAUGCUAACGAUCAGAUGUGGAAGAUGGAGAAGAAAAAAGAAGCACGCAUUAAAGCCCUCUGGGUCCUGUGGCCAGAUGUAGAUCAAGAUGACUGGAGGUGCCCCCGCAUGAGCACACCCUGACACAUCAUUUUGCCAUGGCGUACCUCUUGGAUAUUAAAGAUAAAAACAAUAUACAUUAAAAAGCGCCCAGUGUAAGUACAUGGAAAUGCUUACUGUUUGAUGGAAUGGUAUGAGAGGACUGGAAACACAAUGGAAAUGUACAGAAAGAAAGCAAUAAAAUCCAGGUAAAAGACAAGGGACUUCCAGGAGAUCAGAGAGAAAUAUCCAUCCUCUUCUAUCUUUCCCUUAAAAGAUGGGCAAUGAUGUGCCCUCUCUUGAGACAAUUUUUCUCCCCAUUUGAUGGGAUCGUCCUUGGGGGAAAUAAAAUGUUGUUGGGAAUCAUCCAUUCUG
rnacentral:lncRNA from 1 species